AAACUUGCUUAGUUGCGAGGUUCUCGCGAUCACGAAUGCAAGACCUCCACGUGAAUAUUGUCCACUGCAAUUAGGGACCUGCUAGCCUCUGUCGCAGCUUCGAAUUGGCGUUUGCCAGUAGUUAAGUUUUUGUGAGAGGGGUUGCGUUCGCGCUGCCUUAU
rnacentral:snRNA from 14 species